CAGUGGGGAAUAUUGGACAAUGGGCGAAAGCCUGAUCCAGCAAUGCCGCGUGAGUGAUGAAGGCCUUAGGGUUGUAAAGCUCUUUUACCAGGGAUGAUAAUGACAGUACCUGGAGAAUAAGCUCCGGCUAACUUCGUGCCAGCAGCCGCGGUAAUACGGAGGGAGCUAGCGUUGUUUGGAAUUACUGGGCGUAAAGCGCACGUAGGCGGCUUUUUAAGUCAGGGGUGAAAUCCCGGGGCUCAACCCCGGAACUGCCCUUGAAACUGGAAAGCUAGAAUACUGGAGAGGUGAGUGGAAUUCCGAGUGUAGAGGUGAAAUUCGUAGAUAUUCGGAAGAACACCAGUGGGGAAGGGGACUCACUGGACAGUUAUUGACGCUGAGGUGCGAAAGCGUGGGGAGCAAACAG
rnacentral:rRNA from 1 species